CACAGAACACUUAUCAAAGCCUUUUUGUUCUUUGAGAAGAACAGAAACCAUCACAUCAGUCAGAUCCAGAAGAAGGGACUAAAAUCUGAUUAAAUAUGUAGAUAUCUUUUUUACAUUGUCAUCAAUUUUUAUUUCAAGUUUAUGAGAUACGUUGAUAUAUUAACUGCUGAUAUCACUUGCACAGUUUAGAUGAAUAGCAAUAGACAGUAAAAGUUUUGUUUAAAAUGAUAGGAAACAACUUUUUAUAUUAUAUUUUUUUUGCCAUCAUGUCAUGGGGUGGAGGACCAGAAAUGCCAGCAGAGUCACAUCCCUGGGUAAUUAAUAAUAAUAAUAAUAAUAAUAAUAAUAAUAAUAAUAAUAAUAUGUGCAAAGAUAGGAUAUAAAAAACAUAAAAUAAAAUAAAAUAGAUAAAACAUAAAACAUUCAAGUCGACAUUAUAAAAUAUCAUACAAAGAAAGGCCAGUCGGUUUCUCUGAAGGAUUAUUUGAGUCGAUGUGUCAUUUAAAGGGAUUUGUGCAACAUAACGUCAUUACGUUAGUUGCACUGAUUGGGGGCAGUGCGUGUUGAUCUGCCUCUUUAACUCUGGGGAAAGGGGGCAGUUCGUGGGACCGUUGUAGAAAACAGAGCUGUGCGCCUGCGCACCGUGCAUAGCAACACUCAGGUCAGGGGCAGCAGAGACGACGAGGGAUCGUUUAUGCGCAUUUUGGGGACGAAAAAAGCUUUCCUCUCUCCCUCUCUCCCUCUCUAUCUCUCUCUUGUGGUUCGUGUAACGGGGCGGAGGCGCUUUGUUUGGGAUGUUUCCGCUGCUGCUGAUCUAUUUCGGGGAGCUACGAGCAGGAUUCCCGUAACACCUCCAUGUGUCACACUGGCCAGCA
rnacentral:lncRNA from 15 species